rnacentral:rRNA from 1 species
UACGUAGGGUGCGAGCGUUAAUCGGAAUUACUGGGCGUAAAGCGUGCGCAGGCGGUUCGUUGUGUCUGUGGUGAAAGCCCCGGGCUUAACCUGGGAAUGGCCAUGGAAACUGGCGAGCUGGAGUGUGGCAGAGGGGGGUGGAAUUCCUGGUGUAGCGGUGAAAUGCGCAGAUAUCAGGAGGAACACCAAUGGCGAAGGCAGCUCGCUGGGACGUGACUGACGCUGAGACGCGAAAGCGUGGGGAGCAAACAGG